rnacentral:pre_miRNA from 13 species
AAGAUAGCGAUGGAGUGGUCAUGAGUCUAAGUACUAGUGCCGCAGGAGAUUGCAUUUGGAAGUUUAAGAAACGUUCCUGCUGCUCAAGUGCUUAACUUUGUGGCCAAAUCCACACACCCG